GAUGAACGCUAGCUACAGGCUUAACACAUGCAAGUCGAGGGACCGGCACACGGGUGAGUAACACGUAUCCACCCUGCCCUUUACUCGGGGAUAGCCUUUCGAAAGAAAGAUUAAUACCCGAUAUAAAGGAUGGGGAUGCGUUCCAUUAGGUUGUUGGUGAGGUACCGGCUCACCAAGCCUUCGAUGGAUAGGGGUGCGGAGAGGAAGGUCCCCAAGAUUGGAACUGAGACACGGUCCAAACUCCGACGGGAGGCAGCAGUGAGGAAUAUUGGGCAAUGGGCGUUAGCCUGAACCAGCCAAGUAGCGUGAAGGAUGAAGGCUUAUGGGUCGUAAACUUCUUUUAUAGAAGAAUAUGUAUUAGAUGAAUAAGGAUCGGCUAACUCCGUGCCAGCAGCCGCGGUAAUAC
rnacentral:rRNA from 1 species